UACGUAGGUGGCAAGCGUUAUCCGGAAUUAUUGGGCGUAAAGCGCGCGCAGGCGGCUUCUUAAGUCUGAUGUGAAAGCCCACGGCUCAACCGUGGAGGGUCAUUGGAAACUGGGGAGCUUGAGUGCAGAAGAGGAGAGUGGAAUUCCAUGUGUAGCGGUGAAAUGCGUAGAUAUAUGGAGGAACACCAGUGGCGAAGGCGGCUCUCUGGUCUGUAACUGACGCUGAGGCGCGAAAGCGUGGGGAGCAAACAGG
rnacentral:rRNA from 1 species